rnacentral:rRNA from 1 species
GACGAACGCUGGCGGCGUGCUUAACACAUGCAAGUCGAACGAAUGGUAGAGGGCUUGCUCUCUAUCGUUAGUGGCGGACGGGUGAGUAACACGUGGGCAACCUACCUUGUAGAUUGGGAUAACUCCGGGAAACCGGGGCUAAUACCGAAUAAUCCAUUUUGCUUCAUGGCGAGAUGUUGAAAGACGGUUUCGGCUGUCACUAUAAGAUGGGCCCGCGGCGCAUUAGCUAGUUGGUAGGGUAAUGGCCUACCAAGGCGACGAUGCGUAGCCGACCUGAGAGGGUGAUCGGCCACACUGGGACUGAGACACGGCCCAGACUCCUACGGGAGGCAGCAGUAGGGAAUCUUCCACAAUGGACGAAAGUCUGAUGGAGCAACGCCGCGUGAGUGAAGAAGGUUUUCGGAUCGUAAAACUCUGUUGUAAGGGAAGAACACGUACGAGAGUAACUGCUCGUACCUUGACGGUACCUUAUUAGAAAGCCACGGCUAACUACGUG